rnacentral:tRNA from 1 species
CCUGACAGCUCAGUAGGUAAAGAAUCUGCCUGCAAUGCAGCAGACCCUGGUUCAAUUCCUGGGUCAGGA